CUGGGGUUGAGCGAUACGCAGCGAUGGGUAGCUGGGGUUCUGGACCCAGCAGGGCAGAAGUCUUCUGGCGAUUGGGUGUCCGAUCCCUCUGAUUCUCACAACACCCUCCCCUGUGAUGGCUUGUCCAGUGCUGGUCUUCCGCAGUAAAUAACGAGGGUGUGGUGGUAUCUUCCCAGAUAUGCUUGCCGCGCAAGGCGAGGUUCACUCUCCAUUCCCUUGUGACCGUUCCCAGCUUCUCGUCCAGAACCCACCACACUGGCAGUUCCACUCAACCUCCACUGCCUUCCCAGUGAGAUACCUAAAUUGCUUGAAUAGCAGUGAGGAGGGAGGGUCCUUCUACAUCAGCGAGUGAUCAGAUAUAAAACAAAGAACUGCCUUGUACAAAGCCAGAACAGAUACAUUGACAGAAUCAUAAGGAAGGAUAAUAGGCUGUCACAGAGGAGGAAUGAUAGUGGACAGCCUCUCACUGUGCUACUGCAACAAACUCAUCUUAGCCCCUAUGGUUCGGGUAGGGACUCUCCCAAUGCGGCUGCUGGCCCUGGAUUAUGGAGCGGACAUUGUGUACUGUGAGGACAAUUUUUUACUUUCUACUCUAAAAAAGAAUGAGACAUCUAAAAUAGCCAUCAGCAUGGGGCUGCAGCCUGGUGGGUACGUAUGAAAUCAUUCUCACAAAGUAAACCAUGGCGUUGGCUCAUUUGAAGUCUGAGCUCUCCCUGGCGGCCAGCAUUUAGCAGUCUUAUCUCUGAAGAAAGCUGGAAGUAAAGUCCAUUUAAGGACUUCACUGGAUGGUUCUUAUCGUACAUAAAGCUUCUAAGUUCACCUCUGAGACUUUCUUGGACUAGAAAGCACAGGCCUUGAUAUCAGAAGACUUGCGUGUAGGCCCGGGUCUGCCACUACUUCCCCAUGUAACCUUGGGUAAGUCACUUAAUCCUCCCGGAGUUUAGGCUCCCCGCAGAAUACAUGAUAAUAUUCAGCCCUGCCUGGCCCGCCCCUGAUUCAAGUUCAAGUAUAAGGUUCAAGUGGAAAGUUCAAGGGCAAAAUUGGAUGUGAAUCACUUUUUCUUUAAUUUGAAGUUUAUUGAUAUUUUUAUUGAGAAGUUAUUUCACUGGUAAACUGCACAAAUGUUUAAAAAACCCCUCAGGUGCAUAGUAGGAAACUUCCCUUUUAGACUUUUAAUGACUGUUGAAUAUUGCUGAUCACUCAGCCACAGAUCACAAGCCUUUAUGUAAUUUGCUGCCACCCACUAAGAACCCAUCUCUGGCAACAGCUGCUCAAGGUAGGGGGCAAUCAUGGAGCUGGAUUUUGUCUGUCAUUUAAGAAAUGCUUCUUGCUCUUCUUCCAGGUACUACAUGCUGGGGAUUGUGAGGAAGACCAAAGAUGUAAAAUAAGGUUCCAGACUGCACACAGAUGGGAGAGGAGAAGUAAUAUGAAUUCUGGGUAGCAAACAUAUUCACUACUCCACAGCAUGAGGAAUAUUUUACUUUGUUUUUUUUACCUUUUUAUUGUAAUAUAAUACAUAAUAUAUGUGUGGUAAAGUGCACAAAUAUUAAAUGUGCAGCUCGAUAAAUUUUUAAAAAGUGAAUGCAUCCAUGCACUCAGCAUCCAGAUUAAAAAACAGAAAAUUAACAGAUCUCACAAGAGUCUCUCCUUUCCAUUCCCAGGGAACAACCGUUCUCCCCUUCAAAAUAACCACUCUUCUGACAUCUGUCACCAUAAAGUAGUUUUGUCUGAUGUGAACUUUAUAUAAAUGGAGUCAUCCUUUGGGGUCCACCUUCUUU